GAUGAAGAACGUAGCGAAAUGCGAUACUUGGUGUGAUUGCAGAAUCCCGUGAACCAUCGAGUCUUUGAACGCAAGUUGCGCCCGAAGCCAUUAGGCCGAGGGCACGCCUGCCUGGGCGUCACACGUCGUUGCCCCCCCAUCUACUCCUUCGGGAUUGCGGGGGGCGGAUGAUGGCCUCCCGUGCGCCUCGUCGCGCGGUUGGCAUAAAUGCCAAGUCCUCGGCGACGCACGCCACGACAAUCGGUGGUUGCGAAACCUCGGUUGCCCGUCGUGUGCGGUCGUCGCGCAUCGAGGGCUCGAAAAAAUUGCCGGGCUCCGGCUCGACUUUCAACGCGACCCCAGGUCAGGCGGGGUUACCCGCUGAAUUUAAGCAUAUCAAUAAGCGGAGGA
rnacentral:misc_RNA from 1 species